UUAAGCGACUAAGCGUACACGGUGGAUGCCCUGGCAGUCAGAGGCGAUGAAGGACGUGCUAAUCUGCGAAAAGCGCCGGCGAGGUGAUAUGAACCUUUGACCCGGCGAUGUCCGAAUGGGGAAACCCAGUGCAAUUCGUUGCACUAUCGUUAACUGAAUACAUAGGUUAACGAGGCGAACCGGGGGAACUGAAACAUCUAAGUACCCCGAGGAAAAGAAAUCAACCGAGAUUCCCCCAGUAGCGGCGAGCGAACGGGGAGCAGCCCGGAGUCUGAAUCAGCUUGUGUGUUAGUGGAACGGUCUGGAAAGUCCGACGGUACAGGGUGAUAGUCCCGUACACGAAAGCACACAUGCUGUGAACUCGAAGAGUAGGGCGGGACACGUGGUAUCCUGUCUGAAUAUGGGGGGACCAUCCUCCAAGGCUAAAUACUCCUGACUGACCGAUAGUGAACCAGUACCGUGAGGGAAAGGCGAAAAGAACCCCGGCGAGGGGAGUGAAAAAGAACCUGAAACCGUGUACGUACAAGCAGUGGGAGCCUCUUUAUGGGGUGACUGCGUACCUUUUGUAUAAUGGGUCAGCGACUUAUAUUCUGUAGCAAGGUUAACCGUAUAGGGGAGCCGAAGGGAAACCGAGUCUUAACUGGGCGUUAAGUUGCAGGGUAUAGACCCGAAACCCGGUGAUCUAGCCAUGGGCAGGUUGAAGGUUGGGUAACACUAACUGGAGGACCGAACCGACUAAUGUUGAAAAAUUAGCGGAUGACCUGUGGCUGGGGGUGAAAGGCCAAUCAAACCGGGAGAUAGCUGGUUCUCCCCGAAAGCUAUUUAGGUAGCGCCUCGUGAACUCAUCUUCGGGGGUAGAGCACUGUUUCGGCUAGGGGGCCAUCCCGGCUUACCAACCCGAUGCAAACUACGAAUACCGAAGAAUGUUAUCACGGGAGACACACGGCGGGUGCUAACGUCCGUCGUGAAGAGGGAAACAACCCAGACCGCCAGCUAAGGUCCCAAAGUCAUGGUUAAGUGGGAAACGAUGUGGGAAGGCACAGACAGCCAGGAUGUUGGCUUAGAAGCAGCCAUCAUUUAAAGAAAGCGUAAUAGCUCACUGGUCGAGUCGGCCUGCGCGGAAGAUGUAACGGGGCUAAACCAUGCACCGAAGCUGCGGCAGCGACACUAUGUGUUGUUGGGUAGGGGAGCGUUCUGUAAGCCGUUGAAGGUGUGCUGUGAGGCAUGCUGGAGGUAUCAGAAGUGCGAAUGCUGACAUAAGUAACGAUAAAGCGGGUGAAAAGCCCGCUCGCCGGAAGACCAAGGGUUCCUGUCCAACGUUAAUCGGGGCAGGGUGAGUCGACCCCUAAGGCGAGGCCGAAAGGCGUAGUCGAUGGGAAACAGGUUAAUAUUCCUGUACUUGGUGUUACUGCGAAGGGGGGACGGAGAAGGCUAUGUCAGCCGGGCGACGGUUGUCCCGGUUUAAGCAUGUAGGCGGAGGUUCCAGGUAAAUCCGGUACCUUGUUAACGCUGAGGUGUGAUGACGAGGCACUACGGUGCUGAAGUGAUAAAUGCCCUGCUUCCAGGAAAAGCCUCUAAGCAUCAGGUAACACGAAAUCGUACCCCAAACCGACACAGGUGGUCAGGUAGAGAAUACCAAGGCGCUUGAGAGAACUCGGGUGAAGGAACUAGGCAAAAUGGUGCCGUAACUUCGGGAGAAGGCACGCUGAUGUGUAGGUGAAGCCCCUGCGGGCGGAGCUGAAAUCAGUCGAAGAUACCAGCUGGCUGCAACUGUUUAUUAAAAACACAGCACUGUGCAAACACGAAAGUGGACGUAUACGGUGUGACGCCUGCCCGGUGCCGGAAGGUUAAUUGAUGGGGUUAGCGGCAACGCGAAGCUCUUGAUCGAAGCCCCGGUAAACGGCGGCCGUAACUAUAACGGUCCUAAGGUAGCGAAAUUCCUUGUCGGGUAAGUUCCGACCUGCACGAAUGGCGUAAUGAUGGCCAGGCUGUCUCCACCCGAGACUCAGUGAAAUUGAACUCGCUGUGAAGAUGCAGUGUACCCGCGGCAAGACGGAAAGACCCCGUGAACCUUUACUAUAGCUUGACACUGAACACUGGUCCUUGAUGUGUAGGAUAGGUGGGAGGCUUUGAAGCGUGGACGCCAGUCUGCGUGGAGCCAACCUUGAAAUACCACCCUUUAAUGGCUGGUGUUCUAACGUAGACCCGUAAUCCGGGUUGCGGACAGUGUCUGGUGGGUAGUUUGACUGGGGCGGUCUCCUCCCAAAGAGUAACGGAGGAGCACGAAGGUUGGCUAAUCCUGGUCGGACAUCAGGAGGUUAGUGCAAUGGCAUAAGCCAGCUUGACUGCGAGCGUGACGGCGCGAGCAGGUGCGAAAGCAGGUCAUAGUGAUCCGGUGGUUCUGAAUGGAAGGGCCAUCGCUCAACGGAUAAAAGGUACUCCGGGGAUAACAGGCUGAUACCGCCCAAGAGUUCAUAUCGACGGCGGUGUUUGGCACCUCGAUGUCGGCUCAUCACAUCCUGGGGCUGAAGUAGGUCCCAAGGGUAUGGCUGUUCGCCAUUUAAAGUGGUACGCGAGCUGGGUUUAGAACGUCGUGAGACAGUUCGGUCCCUAUCUGCCGUGGGCGCUGGAGAAUUGAGGGGGGCUGCUCCUAGUACGAGAGGACCGGAGUGGACGCAUCACUGGUGUUCGGGUUGUCAUGCCAAUGGCACUGCCCGGUAGCUAAAUGCGGAAGAGAUAAGUGCUGAAAGCAUCUAAGCACGAAACUUGCCCCGAGAUGAGUUCUCCCUGAGACUUUAAGUCUCCUGAAGGAACGUUGAAGACGACGACGUUGAUAGGUCGGGUGUGUAAGCGCAGCGAUGCGUUGAGCUAACCGAUACUAAUGAACCGUGAGGCUUAACCUU
rnacentral:rRNA from 2 species